GGUGGCGCAGCCCGGUGCGGCCACGUGGCCCAACACCCGGCGAGUCUAUAAGCUGAACCAGCCAAGCUACGCAUUGACCUGGGGUCAACGCGGGCCGCGUAGGCCCUGCUCUUGUGUUACGCGGGCCGCGACAAGGUCAAGAUCAGCACCUAUAUAUAGAAUGCAUCGGAUCUUCAGUUGAAUUCGUUCACAAAUAUGUUCUUUCUGUCAAUUCUAAAGUAUUAUAACCAGGGAAUCACAAAGGAAAGCCCUAUAAUAGCAAUGUAACUUAGUGUGAAACCAAUAAAAGCCGGCUGGAGAGCACUGAAGGCUUGGAAAAGUGGCAAUAAAGUUACCUCAAAUAAAAAUAGAUGCUUUUAUUAUAUAAAAUAGGAUUUCUUCCUAUGAAAAUGUGUGUACUGCAAACGUGGGUUUUUCCCAUGUAUUUGUAUUUAUAAAAUAUGGUGGU
rnacentral:lncRNA from 1 species